UUUGAGCGCCAACCGCGGACAGAGGCAGUUUACCUUUGUACUUGGUUUACAAAUGGUUGCUUGCACAGGUACAUAGUAAUAUGACUUGAGUAUUCGAUUUUGUGAUAAACAUUUACGUAUUUACAAUUUGUAAUAUAAGGUUAAAUUUAUUCAUGUCUCCCUUUAUGAAAUUCUAGAAAUGACAGCAGUUAAAAUAAAUUCCACUGUUACGGUU